ACUUAGGCUUCACUAGAAGCCACCAAACAAUUUUCCCACAGGGGUC
rfam:Toxoplasma gondii VEG unplaced genomic scaffold scaffold00016_1, whole genome shotgun sequence.